UUUGGCAGUCGUCAUGUUUCCUGUUCUGAAUUGAAGCCCUUCUGCUGUUCGAGUAGUAUCAGAGUUUUAUUUAGUUUUUCGCAGCAUAUCUAGCGUUGGAAUAUCAGAGUCUUUCAGUUCUCAGAAUUGAAGCCAUUUUGCUGUUUAAUGCGAUUCUGUGCCACUUCUGAAGCUCAGACAGCGCAACAUCAGCAGAGAUCUCAGAGUUGUGAUGGAGGUUUCUUCUCUUCAGCUCAACACAAGUCUCACAUGAUCCAGACGGACCUGUAAACUUUCCUUCAGAUGAAACUUCAGCACGUUCUGAAGAACACACAACAUCCCUGAGACAGCAGCAGCGGCUGAAGACAACACCAUCAUGAUCCCAGACUCCAUCCAUCCACACUACAGUCUGCUCAGACCCUCAGAGACCUGCAGACACUAUCAGCAGCAGGGGCUCAAGCGGAAACAGAGACACUUCUCUUGUUAUAAAACUAAUAAAAAAUAUUAAGGAAAAAAAAGGCACUUCUCAUAUUUAUUUAUUUUUUUCAAAAAAUAAAUAAAUAAAUAAAUAUAUUAACACAAUUUAAUUACCAAUUUAUUGUAAUUCCCUCACACUCACCCAGUUGUUUCACAUUGUUUCAUUUUUAAACAGAUGUCUACAAAUAAUCAGUUCACAUAGAGAACAUUGUGUUUAAAAAACUGAUUUUUUACAGGCUUCUGAGGCAGCGUGAUGGUUUAAUGAUCUACAACAAAAUAGAACGAGUUUAG
ensembl:lncRNA